rnacentral:rRNA from 1 species
CUACAUGAAGCUGGAAUCGCUAGUAAUCGUAGAUCAGCAUGCUACGGUGAAUACGUUCCCGGGUCUUGUACACACCGCCCGUCACACCACGAGAGUUUGUAACACCCGAAGCCGGUGGAGUAACCAUUUAUGGAGCUAGCCGUCGAAGGUGGGACAAAUGAUUGGGGUGAAGUCGUAACAAGGUAGCCGUAUCGGAAGGUGCGGCUGGAUCACCUCCUUUCUAAGGA